rnacentral:misc_RNA from 1 species
ACAACCAUCUCCAAUCAGAGGACCACCAACGGAAACAGUAAAAGCACAGCCGUGUGAGUCAAGCACACUAUAAAGCCGUGCUCAUUCUUGUGUGUGUGUGUGUGUGUGUGUCUAGUCACCACACCUCAUUUUAUAGCGCUCUUGUUUGUAAAUUCCUUGCGCUGUCCCUCUCCCCGUCUCAUCCCUACCCAUCCCCCCCUCCGUAUUCCUCAAGCAACUCCCUUUCACAUUGCUGCUGUGGUCUAUCCGCGGUGUCGCUGGCACGUGGCGUUGCGCGCGACGCUGUGUGUACGCUGGUGCGUUGGCUAGCAGGUCACCCCGUAGGCAUAUAUAUGUGAAUACCAAAAGACGCCUUGAAAGCAACCACAGGCACCCAGGUACCCGCAACCACGCUCGAAGCGCGCCCUCCACCUUUACCCAGCUCAUGGCUAGUCGUUACUCGUCAUAUUCCUGCCCCGAGUGAUUUGCGAUCUGCGCCGUUCUCUGUCCUGUUUCCCACCCCUCCCCUCACCGCAUCGCUCUCUCUUGCGCGCUUCUCGGCAGCGACGAUGGAGCCAGAGAAAGCGUUCAACGAAGAGCCGGAGGCGACUGUGCAGGACCCCUCGCUGGUGUCGCCCUCGUCCCUCCUCCAAGGCUCCGCGCUGCCGUUGCUAUCGCCAUCCACUACUGUCUCGCAACCACCCCGCACUGCGCCUUCGUGGAGCUGCCGCCUCCACUUCGUGAGCCCCACCACGGCGCUGGACAUUGGGGCCGCCGAUUACAGCACCGUUUACCCUCGGCUGUGUUCCAUCGAGUAUCUCGUGACCGCCGCAACGUGUCUGGGAACGAUGCUUUAUGGGUUUGCCGUGCUCCAGUCGUUCUGCUACAAGAAUUUCUUUUCGUACCAGUGGGACACCGUCGAUCCGAACCCCUUCUUUGAACGCAUGGGCUCCAAGGGCUACGACGAUAGCGUAGACGAUCAAUGGGUCGGGUUCAUCACUCAUUACAACGAAUUGGUCUGCCUGGCCCUGCUGCUGGCGGGCUUUUCCGGGCUGUAUCGAGCGCUGCUCUCUUACUCAACGUCAUCUGCAUCCCCCGUCCCCUCUGACAGCACGGCCUGCUCAUCACCCUCGGCGAGCAGCGAGUGCUCAGGGUCGCUGGACGGCCAUGUAAAGGUGUGGAUGCCACCGAGGUGGUUGGAUAAGCUACGCUCACGCGCGCGCACUCUCGGCUCACCCUCAGGUGCACGGAGGAGGUGCACCGACUUUCUGCAGCGCUCUUGGAUCCUGCCCGCCUUCUACACGGUUGUGGGCGUCGUCUUCGUCAUCUUUGUGCACGGCCCGCACUUUUUCCUCCCGCUGCUCAUCAUCAUCGCCAACUACGUCAUCUUCUCGCGGCUGCAGCGCUGGUGCCCCUACUGGCUGUUCAUGGUCAUCAUGUGGGCCGCGCACGUCACUCUCCUGUACCUCAUCGAGAUCAACGAUGGGUUCGAGCAGACGUACUGGCUGCAGUACUACACUUCGUGUAUUCUGUCACACCUGCAAGCCAUUCAGGGAGAUGCGGAAGCAAUUCCUUGGGAGCAGCGUAUGCGCUGGUGCGUAGCCUUCCGCAUGUCGACGCUGCGCCUCAUCGCCUUCAACUACGACCUGUGGGAGGCCACGCACGCCGCCGCACGCGCGCGCGACCGUGCCAGGGCGAAGCACGACACCGGCUGCGUCGAGUGCGCGCAGCUGCGCGAGCAGAACGCAGCGUCGGCGGCCGCGCUGCCCGCCGAGGCGUUGCGCUGCUACAAGUACCGCACCGAGUACGCGCGCGACCCCGCCGACUACAACUUCCUGAACUACGCCGCCUACGUGCUGUUCCCGCCACUGUACCUUGCCGGGCCAAUGUCGUCCUUCAACGCGUUCGUGUCGCACAUGCGCGUGCCGAGCACGUCGAUGCCGCUGCGCAAGAUGGUGAGGUACGCGUUUGGCAUCCUCCGCAUCUACAUCACGGAGUACACGCUGUUGCACUUUGUGCACAUCCCGUGCCUCGGCUCGUACGCCUUCGUGAUCCUUCGGAUGACCUUGCUGGAGCAGGCGCACUUCCUGUUCUACAUGCUGGCCUACCUGUGGCUGAAGUUCAGCUUUAUAUGGAAGUCGUCGCGUCUCUUCGCCAUGUUCAGCGGCAUCGAAGUUCCGGAGGACAUGCGGCGCUGCUUCGGCAACACGCUGACGGUGCGGGGCUUCUGGCGCGACUGGCACGCCUCCUUCAACCUGUGGAUCGUGCGGUACAUGUACAUCCCGAUGGGUGGCCGCAGCCGCGUCGCGCUGUCGGUGCUGCCCAUCUUCCUGUUCAUUGCGGUGUGGCACGACCCGGCGCUGCACCUUGUCAAGUGGGCGGUGUGCAUUGCCGCGAUGUUCGUGGCGGAGGUGGCGGUGAGCGGGUGCUUUGGGUGGGCCGCUGCGGCGUUCCGGCGCGAGAUGGCCGCCGCGGCACCGACGGGCGCAGUAAGUGAUGCUGCGCUGGAGAACGGUCGCCCCACGAACUGCGCGCCGCGCCGCAGUCUGCUGGCACGGCUGGCGAGGCUCUCUGCGCGUCGCUUGAGCCCGCUCGCGCAAUCGUGGGUAUACCGCCAAUUUCGAGUGAUAGCGGGCAUGACCACAGUGCUCGGGCUGAUCAUUGCGAACUUGGUGGGUUUCUCGAUGCAAAAUGCGGUGGCGACUGUGGAGAAGCACGGCCUACCGUCGUCGGGGACCGAUGCAGACAAUGUGAUCAAGAAGGCGUUUCACGGUCUCACGCCUCUCUUUACCCUAGGCCUGAUUGCCUUCAUGUACUCUAUGUCCGCCUUGGCGGCGAUGGAUCGCGACAUGGCCCGCCAGCAGGCAUCGUACUUGAAGCUGCUCUAUAGAUUGAAGCAGUAGCGGCCCCGUCACGAUGGCGUCACGAAGGAGUAGGUGGCACGAGUCUGCAGUGUGGAUGAGCCUGUGCAUCCGACUGGCGCGCGGCCCCAUCUCCCUUUUGCGCCAGCCAUCUAUGGUUUCUUCCCCUUUCUGCGAAAGGCGUCGAUGAUGUCGUUUCGCAGGCUUUUUUUUGGGUCUCUGGCCUUCUCUUCCCCUCGUUCUCCAAGGAAGGUGUGUACGUGCGUGGGUAGGUGUGGGUGUGGGCGCAUACCGCGCGUAGAUGCAUCGCCCAUGGCCUCCCCCCCCCCUCGCACUUCACCGGCCCGCCCAUACGUCGACAGAAGCGCUGCCAACCGCUCUUUCGCGCGUGCCCCUGAGAGGCCCCGUCUCGCCGACUCUCCCACUCCAAGACGCUCUCCCCCUCCCCCCUUCUCUUGCCUCUCACCACUUGCCAUAUUUGGUGUUGCCAAGCGCAUAUAUCUUCUUUGUAUUCGUUUUUUGUUUGAAUUAAUCGGCUUGGGGGUGUUGCUUGGUUGCGUCAACGAGGACUGUGGACAAACUGGCUCGUCUUCGGCACCGUGCUCACGCAGGCUUUGAUCCCUGUGUGUGUGUGUGUGUGUGUGAGGAUGCGCAUAUACGUCAUUAUAUAGCGUUUUUUUUAUAGGAUUUUAUGGAGAGUGUGAAAGAAGUUGAGAAGGCAUGUGAAAUAUCCUUUUUUUUUUGGCAGUGCACCCGUGUAUUUGAGCGUGCGUCCGUGCAACUCCCACAUCCGCGAAGGGCUGUCCCGCCCAUGCGAGGACUUAGCGAAGCCUGAGGGAAAAGCUUGUCCGGAAAGGAUCAAGAGAAAGAAUCAGUGGCAUUCAUAGAUAAAAGAGGCGCCGGAAGUUAAGGGGGAGAGACGGAAUGCGGGCUAUGCUACGGAAGGGUUUUUAUUUGAUUUUGCCUUUACUGUUACGCUGAGUUGAUUCGGUGGGGAUAGGACAGAUGGUGAAGGUGGUAUUCUCUCUCUUUUCUUUUUUUGUUUUCGGUCAUCAUAUCUUUUCUGUGUGCGGAGGGAGGGGCUUUGGCUUAUACUGUGGACUUGUGCGGAGUUGUGUCUGCCGAUGCGUAUGUGUACAUGUAUAUCAGUGUUUAUGUGCCUAUCUGUAUGUAAUAGUGGGUGUGGGUGUGUUGGUCGUCUCCUAUAAUCGGUUUGGUUUAGUCAUCCCCUCCCCCUCCCUCUCCCUCCUCUCUGUACGGUUGUUGUUUGCUUUGUCUGUCUUCGACUCGGAGUGGCAGCGGCAUUUAUUUUGUUGGUAGAGGGAUGCUCUGCGUCUUCCGGGUUUGGGGUGCGGAACAUGCAACGGUACUACCUCCUGUGGUGAUGAAGGAACGUAUUUUUUUUUAUUUAUUCUAUGUCGAUGUGUGUAUGUAUGUGUGUGUGUGUGUUUGUUUUAGCGCACCGCUACGUCUUCGGCGGCGGUGCUGUUGUCAUUUUGCGUGUUGUUCGUGGCGCCGUAGAUUCUUUUACCGAAAUACCAUCAGCGCAGCAACAGCAAACCCUCUCACCGCUCGCCUCCUACCCGACCACCAUCACCACCAUCAUCACUUUCUCUUCUCCAUAAGUAUUGUUAUAGAUUCGUUUUUGUUUAAACUGCUUCUUUUCGAAAGUCUCCUAUCAUCACGUUCCCAUCAUCGAGUCCCUAAGCCACUGCCAGAAGAGCCAUGCCCCCCACCACCACUCCACGCCCCCUCCGCCUCAUUUGAGCCUUGUACCUCUUUUCUCUGUCCCCGCCUUACCGCCCACCGCGGAGAAUGAGGAAGGCUCUGGUUCUCUCUCCGUGCUCCUUCUUGGCUGCACCACCUCUUAUCACCCACUUUCUUUGCGGCGGCGGCGUCAACUGGAAAAGCAAAAUGUGUUGGAUGAGAAGAUAAGCAUACACGUACACACAUACUGGCACGUAUGUGUAGGAAAACAAAAGGAAACGGGCUUAUCUGCGCACUGGAUCGACUAGAUCACGGUGCAGCGCAUGUAGUGGCCAUGAUGCGCCCCUGCAGGCCAGUUUAGCUCCGUUGCACGCUACGCAGGCGCGACAGUGGCAGCGUGCGCGGUCACCUCAUAAGAAGGGGACUGACGGGAUUCAGCAGUUGUUUUCUUCUGCUAUGAGCAAAGGUCAUCUAUCUUGUGUGCAGGCCGGAGCACUAGGUUUUUUUUUCUGGUAUGCGGCGUCUUGCCAUGCUGCACACCGCUACAUCCUCGAUUGCCCGCCUGUCUUUUCUCCCAUCCCCCCCCAACCAUCCGUUUUUCUUCGCGAAUGAUUGCCCUAUGCGCGAGUCUCUGCCGUGCACUUUAACCGUUCUCUCUCUGCGGACGAUAUACGCGCAUCCCAUUCACAAGCGCACAUGCAGACGCGCACACGCAGUGGCACAGCUACUAUCAGCUGGCAUCUUGCACACCCAAGGCACUACGAAGCACCUGUGCCGUAUCGCUCGACAAAAAAAAAAUUGCGCGGCCUUUUCACCGCCUACCGCUCACAGCGCGUUCGUGUUUUUGCCGUAUGCUAUGUGGUGAAGCGUUGUCGCUUUAACUGAGCGCAGCCGGUCGGAUCGUCGCUGCUGCUGGUGUCGUGGCCGUGCCUCUCCUCUGUACUAGAUCUCGUUCGUUUUUCUUUUUCUUUCUUGCGUCUCCCUCCCCCCUUUCCCUCUCGCAUAUAG